rnacentral:rRNA from 1 species
GGGAUAACACCUGGAAACAGAUGCUAAUACCGGAUAACAACAGAUGAUGCCUAUCAACUGUUUAAAAGAUGGUUCUGCUAUCACUCUUGGAUGGACCUGCGGUGCAUUAGCUAGUUGGUAGGGUAACGGCCUACCAAGGCGAUGAUGCAUAGCCGAGUUGAGAGACUGAUCGGCCACAUUGGGACUGAGACACGGCCCAAACUCCUACGGGAGGCAGCAGC